GAGUUUGAUCAUGGCUCAGGACGAACGCUGGCGGCGUGCUUAACACAUGCAAGUCGAACGAUGAAGCCUAGCUUGCUAGGUGGAUUAGUGGCGAACGGGUGAGUAAUACGUGAGUGACCUACCUUUGACUCUGGGAUAAGCCUGGGAAACUGGGUCUAAUACCGGAUACGACCAAUCUCCGCAUGGGGUGUUGGUGGAAAGCGUUAUGGAGUGGUUUUAGAUGGGCUCACGGCCUAUCAGCUUGUUGGUGAGGUAAUGGCUUACCAAGGCGACGACGGGUAGCCGGCCUGAGAGGGUGACCGGCCACACUGGGACUGAGACACGGCCCAGACUCCUACGGGAGGCAGCAGUGGGGAAUAUUGCACAAUGGGCGCAAGCCUGAUGCAGCGACGCCGCGUGAGGGAUGACGGCCUUCGGGUUGUAAACCUCUGUUAGCAUCGAAGAAGCGAAAGUGACGGUAGGUGCAGAGAAAGCGCCGGCUAACUACGUGCCAGCAGCCGCGGUAAUACGUAGGGCGCGAGCGUUGUCCGGAAUUAUUGGGCGUAAAGAGCUUGUAGGCGGUUGGUCGCGUCUGCUGUGAAAGGCUGGGGCUUAACCCUGGUUUUGCAGUGGGUACGGGCUAACUAGAGUGCAGUAGGGGAGACUGGAAUUCCUGGUGUAGCGGUGGAAUGCGCAGAUAUCAGGAGGAACACCGAUGGCGAAGGCAGGUCUCUGGGCUGUAACUGACGCUGAGAAGCGAAAGCAUGGGGAGCGAACAGGAUUAGAUACCCUGGUAGUCCAUGCCGUAAACGUUGGGCACUAGGUGUGGGGGACAUUCCACGUUUUCCGCGCCGUAGCUAACGCAUUAAGUGCCCCGCCUGGGGAGUACGGCCGCAAGGCUAAAACUCAAAGAAAUUGACGGGGGCCCGCACAAGCGGCGGAGCAUGCGGAUUAAUUCGAUGCAACGCGAAGAACCUUACCAAGGCUUGACAUAUACUGGACUGCGUCAGAGAUGGCGUUUCCCUUCGGGGGUGGUAGUCACGGGUGGCGCAUGGUUGUCGUCAGCUCGUGUCGUGAGAUGUUGGGUUAAGUCCCGCAACGAGCGCAACCCUCGUUCUAUGUUGCCAGCACGUGAUGGUGGGGACUCAUAGGAGACUGCCGGGGUCAACUCGGAGGAAGGUGGGGAUGACGUCAAAUCAUCAUGCCCCUUAUGUCUUGGGCUUCACGCAUGCUACAAUGGCCGGUACAGAGGGUUGCGAUACUGUGAGGUGGAGCUAAUCCCUAAAAGCCGGUCUCAGUUCGGAUUGGGGUCUGCAACUCGACCCCAUGAAGUCGGAGUCGCUAGUAAUCGCAGAUCAGCAACGCUGCGGUGAAUACGUUCCCGGGCCUUGUACACACCGCCCGUC
rnacentral:rRNA from 1 species